rnacentral:rRNA from 1 species
UACAGAGGUCCCAAGCGUUGUUCGGAAUUACUGGGCGUAAAGGGCGCGUAGGCGGCCUGCUAAGUCGAACGUGAAAUCCCCGGGCUUAACCCGGGAACUGCGUCCGAUACUGGCUGGCUUGAAUCCGGGAGAGGGAUGCGGAAUUCCAGGUGUAGCGGUGAAAUGCGUAGAUAUCUGGAGGAACACCGGUGGCGAAGGCGGCAUCCUGGACCGGUAUUACGCUGAUGCGCGAAAGCCAGGGGAGCAAACGGG